rnacentral:tRNA from 1 species
GAAAAGUAGCUUAAAAAAAGCAUUCGGCCCACAACCGAAGAAUAUUGCUUCCCGAUCUUUUUGA